GCCUACGGCCAUACCACCCCUGAGAACGCCCGAUUCUCGUCUGAUCUCGGAAGCUAAGCAGGGUCGGGCCCGGUUAGUAAACUUGGAUGGGAGACCGCCUGGGAAUACCGGGUGGUGUAGGCU
rnacentral:rRNA from 1 species